rnacentral:rRNA from 1 species
UGCCCUUGACUCUGGGAUAAGCCUGGGAAACUGGGUCUAAUACUGGAUACUACCUCUUACCGACAUGGUGGGUGGUGGAAAGGGUUUUACUGGUUUUGGAUGGGCUCACGGCCUAUCAGCUUGUUGGUGGGGUAAUGGCUCACCAAGGCGACGACGGGUAGCCGGCCUGAGAGGGUGACCGGCCACACUGGGACUGAGACACGGCCCAGACUCCUACGGGAGGCAGCAGUGGGGAAUAUUGCACAAUGGGCGGAAGCCUGAUGCAGCGACGCCGCGUGAGGGAUGACGGCCUUCGGGUUGUAAACCUCUUUCAGUAGGGAAGAAGCGAGAGUGACGGUACCUGCAGAAGAAGCGCCGGCUAACUACGUGCCAGCAGCCGCGGUAAUACGUAGGGCGCAAGCGUUGUCCGGAAUUAUUGGGCGUAAAGAGCUCGUAGGCGGUUUGUCGCGUCUGCUGUGAAAGCCCGGGGCUCAACCCCGGGUCUGCAGUGGGUACGGGCAGACUAGAGUGCAGUAGGGGAGACUGGAAUUCCUGGUGUAGCGGUGAAAUGCGCAGAUAUCAGGAGGAACACCGAUGGCGAAGGCAGGUCUCUGGGCUGUUACUGACGCUGAGGAGCGAAAGCAUGGGGAGCGAACAGGAUUAGAUACCCUGGUAGUCCAUGCCGUAAACGUUGGGCACUAGGUGUGGGGGACAUUCCACGUUUUCCGCGCCGUAGCUAACGCAUUAAGUGCCCCGCCUGGGGAGUACGGCCGCAAGGCUAAAACUCAAAGGAAUUGACGGGGGCCCGCACAAGCGGCGGAGCAUGCGGAUUAAUUCGAUGCAACGCGAAGAACCUUACCAAGGCUUGACAUUCACCGGACCGCCCCAGAGAUGGGGUUUCCCUUCGGGGCUGGUGGACAGGUGGUGCAUGGUUGUCGUCAGCUCGUGUCGUGAGAUGUUGGGUUAAGUCCCGCAACGAGCGCAACCCUCGUUCUAUGUUGCCAGCACGUGAUGGUGGGGACUCAUAGGAGACUGCCGGGGUCAACUCGGAGGAAGGUGGGGAUGACGUCAAAUCAUCAUGCCCCUUAUGUCUUGGGCUUCACGCAUGCUACAAUGGCCGGUACAAAGGGUUGCGAUACUGUGAGGUGGAGCUAAUCCCAAAAAGCCGGUCUCAGUUCGGAUUGAGGUCUGCAACUCGACCUCAUGAAGUCGGAGUCGCUAGUAAUCGCAGAUCAGCAACGCUGCGGUGAAUACGUUCCCGGGCUUGUACA